rnacentral:lncRNA from 1 species
GGCAACUGGAUUGAUGGCUAAAACUUCUGUUACCAUCGUCGUUCGCUUCAGGCUCUCGGCCAUGAAGCAGAGCAGAACAGAGCACGUAGCCCGACGACUUGGGCCUCUGCAGGACGACACUCCUGUAGUUGCCCCCUUCAGCCCGAAAACCGAGGCGGAAACGGAAGCGUCCCCGACCGGAGUCGCCACCCUCUCUCUAAGUCUCAGUCGAAGUUUCAG